rnacentral:rRNA from 1 species
GGCUCAGGACGAACGCUGGCGGCGCGCCUAAAACAUGCAAGUCGAACGAGUAGCCCGGGCUUGCCCGGGUGGACAGUGGCGAACGGGUGAGUAACACGUGAGGAACCUGCCCCGAAGACCGGGACAACACCGGGAAACCGGUGCUAAUACCGGAUACCUUCACCGGAUCGCAUGGUCUGGUGAAGAAAUGGAUUCCGCUUCGGGAUGGCCUCGCGGCCUAUCAGCUUGUUGGUGAGGUAACGGCUCACCAAGGCAACGACGGGUAGCUGGUCUGAGAGGAUGUCCAGCCACACUGGGACUGAGACACGGCCCAGACUCCUACGGGAGGCAGCAGUUAGGAAUCUUGCGCAAUGGACGAAAGUCUGACGCAGCGACGCCGCGUGCGGGAUGAAGGCCCUCGGGUUGUAAACCGCUUUCAGCAGGGACGAAAUUGACGGUACCUGCAGAAGAAGCCCCGGCCAACUACGUGCCAGCAGCCGCGGUAAUACGUAGGGGGCAAGCGUUGUCCGGAUUUAUUGGGCGUAAAGAGCUCGUAGGUGGUUCGGUAAGUCGGAUGUGAAAUCUCCAGGCUCAACCUGGAGGGGUCAUUCGAUGCUGCCGUGACUAGAGUUCGGUAGGGGAGUGUGGAAUUCCUGGUGGAGCGGUGAAAUGCGCAGAUAUCAGGAGGAACACCCGUAGCGAAGGCGGCACUCUGGGCCGAUACUGACACUGAGGAGCGAAAGCGUGGGGAGCGAACAGGAUUAGAUACCCUGGUAGUCCACGCCGUAAACGUUGGGCACUAGGUGUGGGGUUCUAUCGACGGAUUCCGUGCCGUAGCUAACGCAUUAAGUGCCCCGCCUGGGGAGUACGGGCCGCAGGCUAAAACUCAAAG